rnacentral:miRNA from 1 species
CUACAAAUCUCCUGGGGAUCUUGGUAAAAUAGAUUUCUGGUUCACCUAGUGUGAGAUGGGGUCUGAAAAUCUGUAUUUCUAACAAGCUCCCAGGUGAUGCCAAU